rnacentral:rRNA from 1 species
CUAAGAAUCUUCCGCAAUGGGGGAAACCCUGACGGAGCGACGCCGCGUGGACGAUGAAGGCCGUAAGGUUGUAAAGUCCUUUUGCAGGUGAAGAAUAAGCCGGGGAGUGGAAUGCCCUGGUGAUGACGUUAGCCUGCGAAUAAGCCCCGGCCAAUUACGUGCCAGCAGCCGCGGUAAUACGUAUGGGGCGAGCGUUGUUCGGAGUUAUUGGGCGUAAAGGGCGUGUAGGCGGCUCGAGAAGUUUGGUGUGAAAUCGCAGGGCUCAACCCUGCGGGUGCGCUGGAAACUGACGGGCUUGAGUCCCGGGGGUAAGCUGGAAUUCCUGGUGUAGGAGUGAAGUCUGUAGAGAUCAGGAAGAACACCGGUGGCGAAGGCGAGCUUCUAUUCGAGGACUGACGCUGAGGCGCGAAAGCGUGGGGAGCAAACAG